AGCGUUGAGAGCGCACGGCGCCUCUCCGAGCGACACGCGUCGGAGAGAAGCCGCCCGACGCGAGCCAUGGAUUGGCGGUUCGGUCCUUUGCCCGCGCCGCUGUCGCUGUGCGUGGGCCGCGCCGCUCCCGUCCACCCCCAGCCCUGCGCACCUUCCUCCCCCGGCCUCCCCUGCCCCUGCCCCUAACCCUCGCGUCUCCCGCUGCCGCCCGCCGCUGGUCGCCUUCCUCUGCCCCUCACCUUCCUCCCCCGCCACCGACCGCCGCCCCCUCCCGGGCUCCCCUACCUCUCGACCCCCCUGCCGCCGCCCCUCCGACCCCGCCGGCGGGGGAUCCGACUGGCGGAGUGCCGGUGGCGGAUGGGUUUGCUUAGCCCUCCGACUCUACUUACAUGCUCAUCUCCCUUACGCCCUCCGCCCAAACAGAUCCUGAUGCUCCAUGCUGUGGCCGUCGAGGGGGUGCUCCAGCACAGCUGCACUAGCUAACCGCCCCUCUUCCUUCCGUGCCGUGGAUCCCAGGUACAUAAGGUGGUACAUAUCCAGAAAGCUCGCAGCUGUAGCUUCAUAGGGUACAAAUGGCUACAAAUUUGAAGCGGGGAAAUACAUGGAAAUGGGAAAUGCCUAACGAAGGGCCUAAAGUAACAUGCCUCCAUGACAUCUUGUGUUAACAAGUUUAUUUUGUUCCUUCGUCAGUUCGUAACUCCAUGUGAGAUAUCAGGGAUGUAUGUGAACCAAUAGAAAGCCAAUGCCACGUUUGGAUCUGAUGUGCAGGAUGAGUGGCCUCUACAAACAGGGCAUCGUUAUUCAUUAUUCCAAUUGCUCUUCCAUAUGCUAACUAAUCAGUGUAAGUUUUUCUGAUCUACUACUAACACAAUUGACAAAUCCUUAUAUGACAACAUGCAUGGGUCCAUUGCCUUCUUUGCCUCAGUACCACCAUGCUUACUUCCAAUAUAUAAGCUUCAAAUCAAUGGUAGUAAAAAAAAUAGAUUAAAGAAAUUCAUGUGCAGGCUUGCAGAAGUCUGCCUAUGUAUAUAAUUUAUAAUUGGAUUUUAGUCUAAUCAAACUACUUUAUUAAGGUUGUACCUCCUUUUGAAUACUGGCUUAACUAUUGACCAGCUUCCACAUUUAUGUUAGCAUGUGUCCGAUCAGUAUGGCAUCUGCAUAUUUUUUAUCCAUGUCAUUGGGAGUAUGGACUGCUGUAUCAGACCAAAACUGUAUGCUGCUCAUUUAUUUGCAUCAGGUCUGAUUGAUUACUUCAGCUUAUACAUUUAGACCGUCAUAUAUAGGCAUAUAGCUUCAAUACCUCAUCAGUCAGAUAUAGCUCUUAGGUAUAUAAUAAUGUAAUUAUUGUAGUAUCCAUUUACACUCUGAUCUUUGUUCAUGCUUAUCUAUAUAUCUAUCAUUCAUGCAUGUUAGCUUUAAGCUUUCCAACAGCAAUAUAAUUGCUAUGCCCAAACCAAUGUGGUGUGGCAUAUGUCUUUGUCCUUGGAAGUCAAUAAUCAGUAUGUUCGGAGAGUGACAUAUUUCAGGAGGAGUUUUUCUCUGAGGCCAUUAGUUGAUUUCAGGUAGGUCUCAUCGAGUGUGCCUUGGUGCUAAUACUUAGUUUUUUUGACAAGAAUUUCUGUUGCCUAAUGCCUAUUGUAUGGUCUAAUAUUUUGGUUAUGGACACAUGAGUUGCAAAUGUGUGCUUCUUGCACUGUAAGUGAGAUAGCAGCUUAAACCUAAGUGAUCUUUUGAGUUUCGACACACCUGCAGCUAACCUAUCAUGUAUAGGUAGUAAAAUCUACAAUCCACCUUGAACAUGUAAUAUUUUUUAGUGUCAUAUCCCUUUCCUUAAUCUGUAUGAUACAAUCUGUUAACCGAUGUACUGGGCUGAUAAGGUUUCAAAAAAUUGGACCGAACUGCAACAUUGGUGUUGACUUAUUUUUUUUAAAUACCUUCAAGUUUCAAUUUAGCAAUUGUGUAUUGCCUAAUCGUAGUUCAUAUUUACCUCUUAUACAUCCUGUUUCCUUUCUAACUUCGCGUGAUUCUGUUUCCUUUUGUACCUAUGGGUUUCGGAUGAAGGCCAACAACUUGAGUACAACUCGAGGGAUGGUGAAUUUGAAGAUCGGUUCCUAAAAAAGGAUUAGGUGGCACCACUGUGUUUCUUCAGAAAAAAAUAUGCACCUUUUUUCAUGGUUAUCCGCUGAACAUAGUUCUCUGCUGAGCGGCCCACCUGCAAAAUCUAAACACUGUGUAUGAUCUGUUUCUUAGUACAAUUGUUGUUAGUGCUGCCUGCCAUAUGCUGAUUGCAGUAUUGAUAUAGUCUCUAUUACUGAUCGGUUGUUUUGAUUCGAGUUAAAAACUUUGUCAUCUACUCACACCCUAAUCUUCCAAACAUGAAUGAAAAUACUAUAGGGUCUGGUGCAUUA